AUCUAGAUGAUCAGUCCCAAAUAGGAUGAAACCCGCAUCCUGGAU
rfam:Schistosoma margrebowiei strain Zambia genome assembly, scaffold: SMRZ_scaffold0002867